UACAGAGGGUGCAAGCGUUAAUCGGAAUUACUGGGCGUAAAGCGAGCGUAGGUGGCUUGAUAAGUCAGAUGUGAAAUCCCCGGGCUUAACCUGGGAACUGCAUCUGAUACUGUUAGGCUAGAGUAGGUGAGAGGAAGGUAGAAUUCCAGGUGUAGCGGUGAAAUGCGUAGAGAUCUGGAGGAAUACCGAUGGCGAAGGCAGCCUUCUGGCAUCAUACUGACAUUGAGGUUCGAAAGCGUGGGUAGCAAACAGGA
rnacentral:rRNA from 1 species